CACAGCUAAUGGCAACUGAGCUUGGAAAGAGUUCUCUUCUAGGAGGAUGCUGAAGGGAGGUGCUCCAAGUAGUGUGGGAAAACCGCUUCAUGCUUAAGUUCACUUCCAUAUCAUGAUACUAAAAGAUACCUAACAGCUGAUUUUUUUUUUUUUUGAGAUGGAGUCUUACUCUGUCUCCCAGGCUGGAGUGCAGUGGCGCGAUCUUGGCUCACUACAGCUUCCGCCUCCCGAGUUGAAGCGAUUCUCCUGCUUCAGCCUCCUGAGUGGCUGGGUUAACAAGGCAUGUGCCACUAUGCCCAGCUAGUUUUUGUAUUUUUAGUCCCGGACUUCUGACCUUGUGAUCCGCCUGCCUUGGCCUCCCAAAGUGCUGGGGUUAUAGGCGUGAGCCACCUCGCAGAGUUCCUUGCCACCACUCCAGUGGAAGUACAAGCCAACUUUGCUCUCCAACCGGCAGCACUAGCCAAGCAGGCCACCCUGUACUGUCUCCUCACAAACACAUUGUUCUAGAGUUUGUCAGAACCCAGAGCUCUACUCAUUACCUCCUUUUCCAGACAAUUAAGGAAGGCAUGCUCUUUGUUUCCCUUAAUUGCCUAAAACAUCUUCAUGUUUGUAGAGGUUGACUUUCUUUGCCUCCUAGUUCCUGUUUCUCUAGUAUAGGACUUCUCAGGCCUAGCACUGUAAACAUACUGGACUGGAUAAUCAUCUCUUGUGUGGGCUGUUUGUGCAUUUUAGGAUGUUGAGCAGCAUCCCUAGCUUCUACACACCAAGUGCCAGUGGCACUCUCCCCUCCCCUACCGUAAAACUCAAGAAUGUCUGCAAACAUUGCCAAAUGUCCUCUAGGGGGCAAAAUCUCCCCUGACUGUCACUGCUGUAUCAUUUCUUCACUAAAUCCUGCUGUUCAGCUGGGUCCACUGGUGAACCUCACAUCAAUAAACCUGGGGGAACCAGAGAGAGAGAUUGGACACAGGAGAAGGAGGCAAUGUAACUACCUCAGCAAGAUACUACACUGCUGGCUUUGGAGGUUGAAGAGAAGGCCAAAAACGCAACGAAUAUAGCUUUGGAAGCUGGAAAAGGCAAGGAAACUGUUUUCCCCUAGAACCUCUGGAGGAAAUGUGGCCUUACCAACACAUUCAUUUUAGCCCAGUGAAACUAAUUUUGGAUUUCUGACCUCCAGAACUGUAAGAGAAUAAAUGUUUUGUUCUAAGUCA
rnacentral:lncRNA from 13 species